GACGUAGGGCGCGAGCGUUGUCCGGAUUUAUUGGGCGUAAAGAGCUCGUAGGCGGCUUGUUGCGUCGUUCGUGAAAUCCCGUGGCUCAACUGCGGGCUUGCGGACGAUACGGGCAGGCUAGAAUUCGGUAGGGGAGACUGGAAUUCCUGGUGUAGCGGUGAAAUGCGCAGAUAUCAGGAGGAACACCGGUGGCGAAGGCGGGUCUCUGGGCCGAUAUUGACGCUGGAGGAGCGAAAGCGUGGGGAGCGAACAGG
rnacentral:rRNA from 1 species